rnacentral:lncRNA from 1 species
UGCCUGAAGUCACACUCCUAGACAUUACUCCCAUAGCAACAAAUAACACUAAAGUUGUGCACACCACACCUAUGAGAGAUCUCUCAUUAUAGAUCACUCCCAUAUCCUUUCAGACCACACAUUGCUGACAAGACUGAAGUAAGGACAGUGGGUGCACCCCACACACUUUGUUGUCUACAGUGCACCUGCCUGAACUACCAGAGGGUCCCCACUCUUAGAAGACCUACAGAAAAAGCUGCUCACUCAGGCUCUAAUAACAGCAAAGAACCCAGUGGAAAAAUAUACUAUGAAAUCCAGUAAAACUUAGCACUACACAAUGAACAGAUACCACAGGGCACAUCAUCAAGAGAAGGUUGCUCCCUAAAGAGGCUUUCACAUACGUGUGGAGGAGAUAUUCAUCUCAACAGACAGACAGAUUUCAGCACAGAACACAAGAAAUAUGGAUAAACAAGACAACACGACUUCUUCUCUAAAGUUUGUAACUCUAGUAACUGAUUCCAAAGACACUGAUGUAGAUGAAUGCCAAAGAAUUCAAAAUAAUGAUUUAAUAAAAAUGAUCAGUGAAUUCAAAGGAGAUAAAAAUAAACAGUUGAAUGAAUCAAGGAAGCAACGCACGAUCUGAAAGAGCAAUUCAACAAAGAGAGAUUCUGAAAACAAAACCAAGAAAUUUUGGAAUUGAAGAGCUCAAUAAAUCAAAUAAAAAACUCAGUUGAAAGCUUUGCCAAUAGACUAGAUGAAGUGUAGGAAAGAAUAACAGGGCUGGAAGACAAGGUUGAUGCAUUAUCACAUUCAGACAGUAAUAAAGAAAAAAUAAUUGAAAAGAAUAAACAGAACAUAUAAUAUCUAUGGGAUACCAUUAAAAAACAAACAUGUAUAAUUGGAAUAGACAGAGUCAAAGACCUACAGGUUGAAGACAUAGAAAACCUUUUUAGUAUCCACAUAUCAGAAUUACUCUACUCCAUCUGCAUCAUGUACAAAUACAAGAAUAGGAUCCUGUUUAGAAUAAAUUACACUCCAUGUAUGUCAAAUAUGCCAAAACACACUUUCCUGCAUAUCUAAAAAGAACAAAAUUUUAAAGACCUUUUUAGUGAAAUAAUAGCAGAAA